GUAAUAUCUAGACCCAAAGUAAAAGUCAAAAUCCAGUUCUAGUUACCAGACAAAUAUACAAAAACAUAUCUAGACCCAAAGAAAAUAUUCAAAUUUAGCUGGAAAGACCUGGCUAAAACCUGGUCUAGACCUGAAUUAAAUGUUCAGAACUAGACUUUGACUUACUGAAGCGGUUAAAAUCUGCUGUUUCCUUUUUAUUAAUCCCAGUGCACUUGCUGGAUGUUAAAUUUUAGCAAAUCAUGGGACAAACACAAGUGGAAGGGAAAUAAAGGCUUCCCUGAAGCUGGCGUCAUUAAACUUUAAGCGAUCGUCCGAGCCACAGGGAUGGCCGCUGGCGAUAGAAAGGGUAUUUAAAGAGACAUAAUUGUUUUGAGAGCUGGGAUACAAACCGUGCUGCCUCGUGCCUCUACUGAACCGUUAAAGAGAAUACAGUGGAUUUGAGCAUAUGUCAGAAUGUUAGACUACAUAGUUAUAAGUUGAUCACAAUAGCAGACGAGAUUUUAAUGACAAAUCAUUUUAUUAUUUAAAGCAUGUUCAUAAUAACUGACUGGCACAAUUAAUCCCAAAACACUCGAUCAAUUUAUUUGGCACUGAACGUGUUCCAAGUAUCAAGAACCAUAUGAAAACAGCAUUCGAGAUUCAUUAUAGAUUCCCUCCCACAGUAUGACAGUUCUCUGUGUAAUCAUUAAAAACGUUUCUCGACAUAAUACUGUCAGGUCAAAGAGAAACCUGGGUGUGUCUCGUGAACCACUUUGCAAUUUGUUCAAGCUUAGCUGGAAUUCAAACUAAUUUCUCCCCAAAGUCAUUGAGUUUGUAGAAACAGCUACAUGCUGACAGGUACAUGUUGGUUCAUGGGCAGGCCUUAAUUAGUCCGAGCUGGUGCGCUGGUGGAGAAGACGAGGGAAAGAAAGAGAGGCUGACUACGCUGGACACACUGACGGUAGCUUCCUUGCCGGUUCUGCUCUUAAGCUCUUCACAUUCCAUUAGGUGUGAGUUGGAACAUGAGGCAAAGCUCUGCAUGCUGGUGUCAGUGGUGGAGCUGGAAGCUUGUCAGAGCCAAUGGCCAUCACGCAGAUCUUCAAGCAGAUUAGCCGACUGUAUAUAAUUCCAAACCAUGCUCAGUGAUUCUCGAGUCUUUGCGACUGAUGCUGUCGAAACGAGGUUUACGCUACUAGAACGUCUGAGGUUAUUUCUAUUCAUGCUGUAUAAAAAAAAAAAAAAAAACAUCGGAAAAACAGUCAGAUUAUAAAACGAGAAUUCAAAACCGUUAUCAGAAAUAAAAGCGGACAGAAAAAAGUGAGUGAUGCAGGGUUUGAUCAAUCUAUAACUGGGAACAAGGCAAACAGCAUUUGCUCUCUUUGUCAAUGCGCAAAAUCCAAUUUGUUUUACUACAUAUCAAAUGUUAAAUGCUACUUUUUGACUUUAAGCAAUAGAAGCUACACAGGUAUCAGCAACACCAAAUGGCCCUGUACGGACUGAAAGUGUGUGACUGUGUGUGUAUGUGUGUGUGUGUGUGUGUGUGAGACUUGAAUGUGCCGCUUGUUGAACGUCAUGUUGUACUGAAGGUUAAUGUGAGACUCCAUGCUUCAUGCGUAGUUUCACCCUGCAAAACAGAAAGGAGAAGACAGGCAAGGUCAAAUGAGCAACUGUGCUUGUAUGGAAAGACUCUGAUAGGUUUAGAUUAAAGUAACACCUGAGCGGCUGUGUUUUUGCACCAAGUGCAGGAAUGCAUAAUAACCUCACAGGCCAAGACGAGUGGAAAGCAGAAAUCAGCAGAUUGAUAAUCCUUUUUACUGAAGACUCG
ensembl:lncRNA